UACAGAGGGUGCGAGCGUUAAUCGGAAUUACUGGGCGUAAAGCGUGCGUAGACGGUUAUUUAAGUCGGAUGUGAAAGCCCCGGGCUCAACCUGGGAAUUGUAUUCGAGACUGAAUAGCUAGGGUACGGUAGAGGGAAGCGGAAUUUCCGGUGUAGCGGUGAAAUGCGUAGAUAUCGGAAGGAACAUCAGUGGCGAAAGCGGCUUCCUGGACCAGUACCGACGUUCAGGCACGAAAGCGUGGGGAGCAAACAGG
rnacentral:rRNA from 1 species